UACGGAGGGGGCAAGCGUUGUUCGGAAUUACUGGGCGUAAAGGGCGCGCAGGCGGCUGCUCAAGUCAGGCGUGAAAGCCUGGGCUCAACCCGGGAAUUGCGCUUGAGACUGGGCUGGCUUGAGUGCGGGAGAGGAUGGUGGAAUUCCCGAGUGUAGAGGUGAAAUUCGUAGAUAUUGGGAAGAACACCGGUGGCGAAGGCGGCCAUCUGGACCGCAACUGACGCUGAGGCGCGAAAAGCGUGGGGGAGCAAACAGGG
rnacentral:rRNA from 1 species